AUGUCCUCCAACGAGCUCUUGGAGGAAGUGAGAGGGCGACCGGCUUUAAUUUCGUCUCUCUAAUUUCCCCAGAAAUUGAAAAGAAAAAAAAAAUUUAAUAAAAAAACCCAAUAAUGUUAUACGAGCACAAAUAGCAUCUUAAAUUUUGUUCCUUUUUGCUUCGUUAAUUUUAAUUCCGAGGGAAAAUGUUGGGACCUGUUUGGUUGCUCGGAAAAUUUCACUGAGAUUCUGGUUUCUUUCUAGAGUUUGAAACUUGCAGAGCUAAUUUCAAUGGCAGAGGAAGCUCGGAAUGUGAGGAGCCCUCAUUUUUUUGCGUUUUAUUCUGCUGAUUUGAGCUCUGAAAGACUGAAAAUCCCAGAAAGAUUCAUGAGACACAUGGAAGGCAGAACAUCUGGGUUAGUUUCGUUGUUCGGCCCUAGCGGCAGUGAAUGGAGUGUUGAAUUGAUUCAACAGAAUGGUGGUUUGUUCUUGCAUCGUGGGUGGCCGGCAUUUGUGAGAGACCAUUAUGUGGAAUGCGGGGACUUCUUGAUUUUUAGAUACGAUGGUGAUUUGUGUUUCACCGUGCUAAUUUUUGAUCAAAGUGCAUGUGAGAAAGAGGCUGCAUUUCGUUUUGGAUACGGGCAAGACUCCAGGAACUUUGACAAGUAUAUGUAUAUGGGACGAAAAAGGAGAAGGGAGGAGGUCGCAUCAUCUGGGAAUAAGCUGGUUGAUGGUGCGGUGAAGAAGAUUAGAAACGGUUCGUCUCAAUUCCGGUCAGAAUGCAUUGAUGAGGGUCGAGAAGAAGCAACUUGUUCCACAGAAAAAAAUCCACUUGAGAAUCCUGGUUUGGAUGUUGUUUCAUAUAAAGCGAAGGAAUCGAUCCAAAAUAUGUGUGGAAAAGGAGAUGGAUUAAAUGUUAAUGGUAGACUUUGUAUGCAGAUGUCAUCAGCACAUGAAGUAGCUCCAUCAUUUAGCUCCUCUAAUCCUUAUUUCGUGAGAAUCAUAAAAAGUUUCAACAUCAGUGGUUCAUAUACUCUGAUGGAAUUAACCACAAUCACCCAGAGGUUGUGCCCGUGGUUCCUCAUUCCGUCGUUCAGGUUUGGGGUUUGGAAAAUGUCCACGAAUAUCCCAUAUAAAUUUUCAGUGGCACAUUUACCAAACUGCAAAGUAAAGAUUGUCCUUCAAAAUUGGAAAGGAGAAAGUUGGACUGUCAAUUCUGUGCCAAGUAAUAGAGUGCAUACCAGUCACACUCUUUGUGGAGGAUGGAUGGCGUUUGUUCGUUAUAAUGACAUACAGCUGGGAGAUAUCUGCACUUUUGAACUUGUGCGUGAGUUUGAAUUCUGUGUCCACAUUCAAAAGGGAGAAACAUCUAGUUGGUUAAGUCCGGGGCUAGCUGUCACUACGCAUAAAACUAUCAAAGGCUUGUCAAAGAAAAUGAAAGGGAACUCUCCCAAAGUCCUUUCAAAGAGCAUAAGAGAGAUAGCUGAUAAACUAUCAUCAAAGAAGGAUCAAGACGCUGCUUUCAUUAAUGACACAAGGAAAUAUGGCAGCACAUCAAGAUCUCUUACUAAAGCUGCACUCGCUCAGUCAAAAGUUGCUAGUAAAAAGUUGGUUAAUCGCAGGAAAAAAGUUGUUGAUGAUGAACUGGAUUCAAAAUCAAGUGGUUUGAGAAUCAAGUUAACACUUGAUGAAGAAAGAAUAGCUCGAUCUUUCACUUCUUGUUUCCCGAAUUUUGUGAAAAUCAUGAAGAAGUUCAACAUCAGUGGAUCUUAUACAUUGAAAAUCCCAUACCAGUUUUCCACAGAAUACCUCCCCAACUUUAAAACAGAGAUUGUGCUUCGAAACUCAAAGGGGGAAUGUUGGACUGUGAACUCUGUCCCAGACUCGAAAGGGCGUGUGGUGCAUACUUUUUGCGGAGGGUGGAUGGCAUUUGUACGCGGAAAUGACAUUAACAUUGGAGAUGUUUGCAUUUUUGAGCUUGUUGGUAAGGAUGAAAUGCACGUGCACAUUUCCGGUGUUGGUAAAAAGGGAUUUGACCAUCUAGGCGGACAAGGAACAUCAAAUGUAGUAUAGCGAUUGUGUAAUCUACCAGAAAUGUACCUUCUCUCUGACACAUGAUCCAGCUCAACCAUCCCUACUACGUGUUCUGUGGUGAGCUUUCCUAUUUGCGCUAUGUUUUUCUCUGAUCGUGUUCUUCAUGUCAUGGCAACUGCUAACUAAACAUUGGCGCUUCUUCCUUUUCCCCCGGGCAUAAUCAUGUGCGUUUGUCAUCACUUUUAACGUGUUUUCCCCUUGGUGAAUUCACUUUGGUAUAAUGCAUGCUGCAUUAAAGAGUAGAGUUUCUGCAUUUUUGGUAAUGGAUGGAGAGUAACCGAUUUGCUGGUGUAAUGGUGUGAUGGUGUAUGCUGUACAUUUGUUUAGGGUCACUACAUUCUCAGGCAUUGUUUUUGCUUUUAAUUCUCAGUGUCACGGAGAAACUUGUAACGAUAAUCGGAUCUCACUCUUCAGAGUUUUCGUAUGAUCGGCACGGCACUCUUGAUGCAAUCGACAUGAAUGAUAGUACAGAGGGGGAUAUUGUUGGUUGAAA